GACGAACGCUGGCGGCGUGCUUAACACAUGCCAGUCGAACGGAAAGGCCCUGCUUUUGUGGGGUGCUCGAGUGGCGAACGGGUGAGUAACACGUGAGUAACCUGCCCUUGACUUUGGGAUAACUUCAGGAAACUGGGGCUAAUACCGGAUAGGAGCUCCUGCUGCAUGGUGGGGGUUGGAAAGUUUCGGCGGUUGGGGAUGGACUCGCGGCUUAUCAGCUUGUUGGUGGGGUAGUGGCUUACCAAGGCUUUGACGGGUAGCCGGCCUGGGAGGGUGACCGGCCACAUUGGGACUGAGAUACGGCCCAGACUCCUACGGGAGGCAGCGGUGGGGAAUAUUGCACAAUGGGCGGAAGCCUGAUGCAGCAACGCCGCGUGCGGGAUGACGGCCUUCGGGUGGUAAACCGCUUUCGCCUGUGACGAAGCGUGAGUGACGGUAAUGGGUAAAGAAGCACCGGCUAACUACGUG
rnacentral:rRNA from 1 species